rnacentral:rRNA from 1 species
UGCACGGAGAGUUUGAUCCUGGCUCAGGACGAACGCUGGCGGUGCGCUUCAUGCAUGCAAGUCGGACGAGAGGACAGGCUUCGGUCUGCGAUCUAGUGGCGGACGGCUGAGUAACACGUGAGCAAUCUGCCCUCGGGUGGGGGACAACUCCGGGAAAUCGGAGCUAAUACCGCAUGAUGUUCUUCCAUGCAAGUGGAAGGACCAAAGGUUUCGACCGCCUGAGGUGGAGCUCGCGGCCUAUCAGCUUGUUGGUGAGGUAAUGGCUCACCAAGGCGACGACGGGUAACCGGUCUGAGAGGAUGAUCGGUCAGAGGGGGACUGAGACACGGCCCCCACUCCUACGGGAGGCAGCAGCAGGGAAUCUUGCGCAAUGGGCGAAAGCCUGACGCAGCGACACCGCGUGGGGGAUGAAGGCUUUCGGGUUGUAAACCCCUUUUGCCAGGGAAGAAGAUCUGACGGUACCUGGCGAAUAAGGCCCGGCCAACUACGUGCCAGCAGCCGCGGUAAAAC